UACGGGGGGAGCAAGCGUUGUUCGGAUUUACUGGGCGUAAAGGGCGCGUAGGCGGUCGUGACAAGUCACUUGUGAAAUCUCCGGGCUUAACUCGGAACGGUCAAGUGAUACUGUCGGACUAGGGUACAGAAGGGGCAACUGGAAUUCUCGGUGUAGCGGUGAAAUGCGUAGAUAUCUGGAGGAAUACCGGUGGCGAAGGCGGCAUCCUGGACCGGCAUUGACGCUGAGGAGCGAAAGCUAGGGGAGCAAACGGG
rnacentral:rRNA from 1 species